GCUUCUCUCUCGCCUCGGCCGCAGCCUCCGAGCCUCCCGCUACUUCGCCGACGCUACUCGCGUGUUCUGACGCGUUAAAACUUAAACGGACAGUGUUUAUUAACUGUGUAGUGGUAUUGCUCAACUUCACAAUGCUCGCGCUCCUUGUAGAGCUUCGCUAGAGUCGAUUUAACAAUGGAAACUGCUUACUACCUCACUCUAUUCUAGUAGCGUAUCCGUUUCCGAUUUAAGCCCUGCCUGGGCCACCAAGAGCGAGGUUCAUCUUUCACAUUCUUAAGCCAAUGGACUCCUUACUCUCACUAGUAAUUAAGUCAUUCAUUAGGUCCAUAAA